rnacentral:lncRNA from 1 species
CCUCCCUAAGCAUAUCCGACAUUUAAAGGAGAUGGAGUUUGUCCAGCUGGUCCAUAGAAACAUGAUGGUAUCAGAAUAUGCUCGUAAAUUCCUAGAACUGGGCCGAUACUCCCCUGAGACAUUGAUAGAUGAGGGCAGGAAGGCUAGGAGGUUCCAGUGGUGCCUCCACCCAGAGAUGAAACAGCACUUAUUGGUACUAGAGCUCAAGACA